rnacentral:lncRNA from 1 species
CACGUGAGAGGAUAAAGAUGUGUAAUUGCACAUUUGAAUUCAAAUCAAAUUUUGAAUUCAAAUGGAAACCAAUUUAUCCCUAUCCACUAAGGACAUGAGAAGAGGAGGGUGUGGCUUAAUUUGUGCAUGAGUGAUUUCAUGAGAAACAUUUUCUCGUAUAAUAAAUGGGGUGCUAAAAGAGGAUAAGGUCAAGGCGCUAAGAUUGG